AAGAGACGAACAGUUCUUCCCCUCCAGAGGACAUUGUGUUCAAGGAGCUGUUCCAGAAGCAGAAACCCUCUCAGCCUUGAUUUUGGAUCCAGCUCAGGACCGUUGUGCUUAAGAUUCAUUGUUAUUGUGGCUUAUCAUCACAUCUGUUUCUAACCUCAUUAGGGCCAUCAUUCUUGGAAAGUCAUCCAGUUCAUCAAUAUCCUUUAACACUGUUUGGAUUUGUGGGUGUUCAUUCAAGCAGGAAGGGAGGCCUAUGGAGUGUCACAAGGAGAAAUACACAUGGCGGUGGUGGUGAGGGGACGGUGUAUGUGGAGUAAGAAGAAAGACUGCAGGCCAUUCAUGUGGGAAAACACAUCAAGAUCCAUCAUGGCAGCAGGGGAACACAGCAGAGAUGAGCAAAGCUGGGCAGCAGCCUGACUGGGCUUGGCAUGGAGCCAGAAGUACCUCUUCAACAUGGGAAAGGCACAGAGCUUCCUAUCCUACAUGAUUGUCUAUUGUAAUGCCAAAUUACAAGCAAUGGAGUCUCACUGUGUUGCCCAGGCUGGAGUGCUGUGGCAUGAUCUCAGCUCACUGCCAUCUCUGCCUCUUGAGUUCAAGCGAUUCUCCUGCCUCAGCUUCCCAAGUAGCUGGGAUUACAGGCGCACGCCACCACGCCCCGCUAGUUUUUGUAUUUUCAGUAGAGACGGGGUUUCACCAUGUUGGCCAGACUGGUCUGUAACUCCAGACUUCAGGUGAUCUGCCCACCUUGGCCUCCCAAAGUGCUGGGAUUACAGGCCUGAGCCACCAUGCCCAGCCAAUUUCCAUAUAUUUUUUAUACUGGGAUUUCAGAGAGUAAUUUCCUCUUCAUGUGUAACCAGUUAUGUGAAUUAAAACAGAUUCAGCCUUCUUUUACGGUUGUGAAAAACUGUAAUUCUUCCUCUCAAGUUCCCCCUUGGAAGGAGGGAUAUUUCAGGCUCAACAUUGUCCAGUCUGACCAUCGUUAGAGAGAAAGGCCUUAAAAUGUAUUUUCUAAAAGCUUUUCUAUAACUAAUCAACUUAAGUGUCAGUUGGGUGUCUGAGAUCUGUAAGACUUUGAGAUUAUUGCUCCAAAUUCCAUAGGACACUAAUCUCUUUCUUCUUAAUACUGUUUUUACUAAGAUUCAAGCAUAAGGGGCUUAUAUCCAAGGGGAUUUUUCCUAAGAAAAUGUAAAUAUAUAAAUAUAUGUACAGAAAUUAUUAAGAGUAGAAACAUUUGAGGAAUAGUGUGUCUAAUAGCAUAUACUCGGUGUUUUCCCCAUGAGUAAAUGAAAAAUGUUCAACAUAUAUGAAAAGAAUAAAGUGAAAAGUAAGAUCUUCAAAGAGGAUUAUUCGCUGCUGGAAAGUAAGUAAAAAGCAUCACAGAAGAGGCCAGACUCUCUGGCUCAUACCUGUAAUCUCAACAAUUUGGGGGGCCAAGGUAAGAGGAUCACUUGAGCCUAGGAGUAUGAGACCAGCCUGGGCAAUAUGGCAAGAUCUUCAAGACCUUGGCUCUACAUAAAAAAAAAAAAAAAAAAAAAAAAGCACGCUGAGCAUGCUCCUUGCUCCUCUGGUCCUAGGGAGACUGAGGUGGAAGGAUUGCUUGAGCCCAGGAAGUAGGGGCUGCAGCUGUGAUUGCAUCACUGCCCUUCAGCCUGGGAGACAGUGCAAGGCCUUGUCUCAAAAAAAAAAAAAAAAAAAAAAAAAAAAAAAUCAAGGAAGAGGACCCUUUUGCUUCAAAUAAGCAAAAAGAAAAGAAUAAAGUGAAUUUGUUUUCCUAUAUGGUAAUUGUGAAUUUUUCUAUUCCAUAAGGUAAUAGGGUCAUAAAUGCUGCUAGCUGAUGAGGCUGGGCCACUGCAACACUUAGGUGACAUAUCCAUUAGUUGCAGGUACUGCUAGAACCAGUGUUACUAGUACUGCCACCAUCUGCCAGUAACUGAGAACCAACACUCUUCCCAGUACUGCACCAAGAGGAACCUAAUGCAUAUUUCAUAAGCUUUCUAGGUAGAUAGAUGUCCAUGUUCCAUGGAGUGGUCCACCAUUUGCUAGCUCUAUGUCCUUGUGAUAUUCCUUUAUUUUCUCUACUUCUCACUUUUUCAUGUGUAAAAUGAGUCUCCUGGUGCUAUUCAUCUUAUAGGUUGUUUUCAGUACAGUUGGUCUCUGACAUACCAUGUUUUGACUUACAAUUUUUCAACUUUACAGUGGAUUUAUCAGGACAUAAGUCCAUCAUAAGUCAAAGAGCAUCUCUAUUAUGUAAAGUGUGUAUCACAAUGCCUAGAACACAAUAAGCUCUUGGUGAAGAGUUUUCUAUUAUUAUUCUUUUUAGUGUUUUCGUUAAUAUUGUUGUUAGUUUCUCUUUCUUACCUAUGAAAACUACAUGAGAGAUACAGGACUUUGGUGACUUGAAAAGCUAAAUCACUAAAUAAGUGUCAUCAUAAAGAAUGAUAUCCAGAGAAAGGAUUAUGAGAAGAUGGUAGAGUAGGAAGCACCAGGAAUCCAUCUACUCACCUACAUAAAAAUUACAGUGGAAGAAUCUGUUUGAUGUAAAUAUUUAGAACUAUUAAAGGCUUUCAACUUCCAGAAGAUUUUAGUUGUAUAUUGUGAUUAAUUUUGUUCAAUUGCAGCUCUCAGUGCAGUAGCAACUACCUGUCUAUCUGUAGCCACCGCCUCCCCAGCCUCCCACUCCCUACUCCUCACAGUCAUAGAGGAGGGCAUCCAUUGUCUGUUGCACCUGCCCCCAUUUGUUGAUUGUUGCAAGCCCCUCCCCUCUGGCUGAAGUGACUUCCUGGAGGUUUACAGGGCCAGUGAUUUUCAUUUUCACUUCAUGUUCUCUUUUUUCCUUUAUGAGAGUCAGACAUUGUUAAAGAUUAAGAUAUUAAAAAGCAACCACAUAUGUGCAGAAAUUAGAAAGCCACCACAAUUGCUCAAGGAAAGGUGCAGGCUCAGCAAAGACCUAAACAGCCUCAAAUUUAUACCUCAAGUUCAUCAUCAGCACAGAGAAAACCAGCAGCACAAUUAAAUUUUUAAAAAAGCAAACAUCAAAAAAAAAAAAAAACAUCCAAGUGAAAAAGAAUAAAAUUGGACCCGUAAUUAACACCAUAUAUAAAAAUUAACUCAAAAUUAAUGUAAGACCUAAAUAUAAGAUCAGAAGUGAUAAAAGUCUUAGAAGAAAGUGAAGCACAGGGCACAUCUUUAUGUUGAGAAUUCCUAAAACCCAAGAACAAAAACAAAAUAAAAUUUAUAAAUGAGGAAGAUACUUGAGUAGACAUUUCUCCAAAGAAGAUAUACAAAGGAUCAAGUAUUAGGGACAUUAGGCACAUGAUUAGGGAACAUCCCUAAUCAUUAGGGAAGUAGAAAUCAAAACUACAAUGGGAUACCCUCUCGCACCCAUUAGAACGGCUGCUAUCCGAAACAAAAACAGAUAAAAAGUGUUGGUGAGGAGGUGAACAAAUUACAAUACUUGUGCAUCGUUGGUAGGAAUAUAAAAUGGUACAACCACCGUGGAAGGCAGUAUGAUAGUUCCUCAAAAAAUUAAAAAUAGAAUUAACAUAAAAUCCAGGAGUUCCAGUUGAAGGUAUAUACUCAAAAGAAUUUGAAGAGAUAUUUUGAAGAGAUAUUUGUAGAAUUAUAUUCACAGUAACAUUAGCUAAUACGUAGAAUCAAACCAAGUGUCCAUUGACAGAUGGAUGAAUAAGUAAAAUAUGGUACAUCCAAUGGAAUAUUAUUUAGCUUUAAAGGAAGGAAAUUCUGGCAUGUUUACAAGAUGGAUGAACCUUAAGGACAUUAUUCUAUGUGAAAUGAGCUGGCACUAAAGGACAAAUGCUGUAUGAUUCCACUUGUGUGAGGUAUUUAGAGUAAUCAAAUUCAUAGAGACUGUGGGUAGCAAGCCACCCAGGUGCCGAGGCAAGAGACCGAAGGCACAAGCUGUUCCAGUAUAAUAAAAUAUAUAGAAUCAGAAUAGUUAUACUAGAAAUAGAUUAUAGAUAUGAUUAUGAAUAUUAUUAAUAAUUAGUUUGUAGCAUUACUCUUUACUCCAAUAUUAUAGUAAUAUUUCUUCUACAAUUAUAACCUAGGAAAAACCAGGCCAUGCAGAGAUAGGAGGUGAAGGGACACGGUGAGAAGUGACCAGAAGAUGAGUGUGAGCCCUCUGUUAUGCCCGGGCAGGGCCACUAGAGGGCUCCCUGGUCUAGCGGUAACACCAGUGCCCGAGAAGGCACCUGCUACUUAGCGGACCUUGGUCUAGGGAUAGCACCAGUGCCUGGGAAGGCACCCGUUACUUAGCAGACUGGGAAAGGGAGUCUCCCUUUCCCCGGGGGAGUUACAGAAGAAUCUGCUCCAUCACUUCUUGUGGAAGGCCUGACAUCGGUCAGGCCCACCCACAGCCAUCCGGAGGCCUAAACGUGUCUCUGUGAUGCUGUGCUUCAGCGGUCACGCUCCUGGUCCACUUUCAUGUUCUGCCCUGUACACCUGGCUCUGCCUUCUAGAUAGUAGUAGCAGAAUUAGUGAAAGUAUUAAAGUAUUUGAUCUUUCCGAGAAAUACAUAAAAGAAAUAAUGAUGUAAGCUGUCCCCUCUCUCCACCUUGGCUACCAAAUAGGGAAGGGACCCCUGUCUGGUAGACACGUGACUCGCAUGACCUUACCCAUCAUUGGAGAUAACUCACAUUCCUUACCCUCUUGCCUUGUAUACAAUAAAUAACAGCGCGGCCAGGCAUUCGGGGCCACUACCGGCCUCCGUGCCUUGGUGGUAGUGGUCCCCCGGGCCCAGCUGUCUUUUCUUCUAUCUCUUUGUCUUGUGUCUUUAUUUCUAUGAUCUCUCGUCUCCAUACACGAAGAGAAAAACCCACAGGUCCUGUAGGACUGGACCCUACAGAGACAGAAAGUAGAAUGGUAGCUUUCCAGGGCUAUGGGAAUGGGGAAAUCGGGAGUUAUUGUUCAAUGAA
rnacentral:lncRNA from 1 species